CAGUCGCCGCGGUAAUACGAAGGGGGCUAGCGUUGCUCGGAAUUACUGGGCGUAAAGGGCGCGUAGGCGGACAGUUCAGUCGGGGGUGAAAGCCCGGGGCUCAACCUCGGAAUUGCCUUCGAUACUGGCUGUCUUGAGUAUGAGAGAGGUGUGUGGAACUCCGAGUGUAGAGGUGAAAUUCGUAGAUAUUCGGAAGAACACCAGUGGCGAAGGCGACACACUGGCUCAUUACUGACGCUGAGGCGCGAAAGCGUGGGGAGCAAACAGGAUUAGAGACCCGUGUAGUCCCUGUCUCUUAUAC
rnacentral:rRNA from 1 species